UUCAUCUUACAAUUAAUCGAAUAUGGUUCCAGAUCGGCGACCGAACUUGCUCGUUCUGUAGAAAGUUCAUCUCAGACGAGACGCUUAAAUAGUCCGAUAUCAUAUGACGUUACUCAAGACUGUACUUGACAAAAAGCAUUGAUGAAGAUUCAGCUGAUUCAAAUAUUAAGAAUAAUAUGAUAUUUCUACGUGUUAUCUCGAAUGUCAUUAGAAAUCAAUUAACAUUUUCCGUUCACUCGGAAAACACCCUAAUUAUAACAUACUACGUUUGUAUGAUAACUUUCAAUAGAUCCAGGUUCAUCAUUUACUAUCAUCGUUAUUAUUAUCAAUUAUAUUUCACAGCCUGCCUUGUACGGUCAAGGAUAUGAAGUCAAUAGCCAAUCAGAUUAUCGAAAUGGUUAAAUGGUAGGAAAAAUUGUAACAAUUAAACGAACUCCAAUCCAAGUUUUCAGUUUGAUUGGAACUAGACGAGGUAGCGUUUUUCUAGCGUAGAGUCAGUCUAUUUUUGAUAAUCCAGUACAGAGAUUCACAUUAUCCUGCGCGGCCGUCAGCAUUCCGUGUUUGGUGCGAUACAUUAUGCACCAAAAAAGUUUCUUCCAGUUUUUUCUCACAUCACAUUUUAUUCAAUAGCUUCGGAAUAAUCUCGAUGCUGUUGAACAAAUGGUCUCAAAAGUAUCCGACUCUGUUCGGCUCUCUACUUUUAUUUUGCUAAUUGAAUCGAUAUUUACACGAUCGAUUUGUCAUAGACAAGGACUCUUCUAGUGAAAUAAACGUUUCCCCGGGUAUCGUGGUUACGCACCUGUGUGUAUACAAGUUCGUUGUAAUUUUGUUAAUACUGUCAUCGUGGCCGUAAUGAUGUCCACGGACGCGAUGCGGCGCGGACAGUUACUCUGCCAAUAUUUGAUUACCGAGUAAUCUUUCUACUGGAAUAUCGGCUACACGUCACUUUUGACGGCGCUCAUCGAUGUUCACACCAUCGUCGCUGGUUAGUACAAUUAGGACAAGCUGUGUCACAAAGAAUCAACUUCCCACGUUGAAGGCUGAACGUCGAAAUCACUCUUCGAGCAAUUAUACAUCGUACCUCAGCUGUCCGACGACCGAUUUUAUUGGAAUUCCGCUUGAAGGAAAGCUUGACACCGAUUUAUGUGACGAAAGUGAUAAUGCCACAUUUGCUGUAAUGUUAUAAAUAUGGGAAAUAUUUGAUGAAACGGGUACUCAGUAGUACUUUCGUUCUUGAAAAUGUAAUUGGCGUGAUCCUCGAUCGAGUCUCUUGAUAAAAAAUAAAUGAAAAUAUACACCUUCUCCCUAUUAGGGUAA